GGGUCAGAAACUCAAAUGGCUGAGUACCGGCCUUUUAAGCCGGGAGGUGAGAGUUCAAGUCUCUCCUGACCCA
rnacentral:tRNA from 1 species